AUGGAACAAUGUAGGCAAGGGAAGUCGGCAAAACGGAUCCGUAACUUCGGGAAAAGGAUUGGCUCUGAGGACUGGGCUCGGGGGUCCCGGCCCCGAACCCGUCGGCUGUCGGCGGAUUGCUCGAGCUGCUCACGCGGCGAGAGCGGGUCGCCGCAUGCCGGCCGGGGGACGGACCGGGAAUCGCCCCUUCGGGGGCUUUCCCCGAGCAUGAAACAGUCGACUCAGAACUGGUACGGACAAGGGGAAUCCGACUGUUUAAUUAAAACAAAGCAUUGCGAUGGUCCUCGCGGAUGCUGA
rnacentral:rRNA from 1 species